GGGGAGGAGCCAGCGGAACAAAGGCCCCCGGUACGGGAUUUGGAGGGGGUGGGGGCAGGUGCGCGGUUGUCCCCAUUGGAGGGGAGCAGGGCGCAGCACCUCAGGGCAGGGCAGCCCCAAGCAGCCCCGCUGCCAGGCUGCUCGCCCGCUGGGGGAUGGAGGCUGCCCCCAGCCCCCGGGAAAGAGCCGCAGCUCGGUCCUUUCCCUGCCCUGGUCCUGGUCCCGGUCCCGGUCCCGGUGCCGGCCAGGUGAUGCUCUACUCCAGCUUUCGGCUGCGGGGCACACCGAGCAUGUUGCCAUCUGUCUAAAGUCACGAUUUAAGACCUUUUGUUAAAAUGGUGUAAAAUCACGCACAGAGCCAACAUUGAUUUAAAACCAAGCGCUGUCAUCUACUUUUGGCACAAGACAGAGGAGAGGCAAAAGCACAAGAAUUUUGAUUUGCAUCAAGCAAUAACUGCAAGCAACAAUAAAUUUAAAGCUAGAUUUUUGCAUGUUGUAAACUGGAUAGGACCAGGAGUUACUGACAAAACCAGCUGGUCAUGCAAGUUUAGCAAAUUCUCUGUAUUCCAACGCAUUGCCAUCUAAUCUGUCCUGUUUCCCCUGACACAUACUAACACAAUGAAGCUGGACAAUGGUUGAACAGCAAGUGCAUGUGAUAGUUCUGGCAAGACUAUUUUUGUUUUGAUUAAGCACAUAUUUAUCCAUGAGGGACUAGAAAAGCAAGGCCUUCUUCUUCAGGUCAUUCCGCUUCCAAAGUGCCAGACGAUCAAAUUCCUCAAUGCUCAUUUUGAAGACUUCCUGGAACUCUUCAGGGGACAAAUGCCUCUUGAAAAUGAAAAUACAAAGGCAUCAUUAAGCUCUUCUGUGCACAGGAACAUUUCUGCCCUUCCUAAGUUUUAAAACACACCACAAAAUAAUGCAUUUGUAUUUACAUUUAAAUUCCCAAAUUCUGGAAGAAAACACAUCAAAACCAAAUCAGCUUACAACAGCUGGGAAAUGAAAUCGUUAGCAUUAGCAACUUCUGAAAAAAACAAAUCUUUUCAAUAUAGUUCCAACUGAGUAGAAGCUACAGUCUUCAGGAAGAAGAUGUAUUUAUACAUGAUAUGCGAUGACAGAGCACACUGAGACAAAUUUAAGCGACUCCAGGACUUUAAAGAAACUAUUAACAAUGUAAUUUCAGAGUUGCAUUUGUUUUGCCUUGAUCUUUAAUGAGAGCAAUGGACAUCACACUGGUUUGUUAAUAGCAACCUUGUAACAAAGGAGAGAGCACACUGCUAAAUUCUUAAAUCCAGAAUGUGAUUAUCCAUGGGGAUAGACUUGCACCAGGAGCCCAAGUUGGAUAAAGCUUUUUUGAAACACCAAGAACUAUGCUUUUAUUUGAUGUUUUCAUAUAUGAGACAAAGACAAAAAGGAGAGAAAAACAACAUUAAGAAGGAGGUAGGAUAAUGAAUGUAUAUAGAGUUUGCCUAACAAUUACUAGUAUACGUGCAGAAAAGGCUGAAAAGAUAAAUGUAUGAAUUAGAAAUGAAAAGCAUACAAAAUUCUUUCGAUAACUGUGGGCUAACCCUUAUUCAAGCAUUGUAGUACCAUCAAUCAAGGUUCUGCUUCCAUUGUCUUAAGCACAUGCCAUCUAAAAGGGACAGAUUCAGUGCAAUGAAAAUUACAAAUUGAUUUUUUUUUAAACACAUCCUCUCCUUUUCCACAAAACUUUCCUUGAAACCUUUCUGUUAUUAUCCAAAAUUCUGGCAGGGAGCAUGCUAAUAUGCCCUGAUGAUGCCACAACGGUUUACCUGACUAGGGUGGACAUGACCUCGCUGGCCCUAUCUUACACAGCUAUUUUUUUGACAAAUUUGAAAGCAAAAUUUUACUUUCCACUUAUUAACAUUGAGUUUGUCUUUGUAAUGUAAAUUACACAAGGAAAAUUAAUAAAAUUGUUUGCAAAAUAUUACUAUAUUUAA